rnacentral:lncRNA from 1 species
GUCGUGUUUCAUUGUCAUAUUAGGAAACUACCUGCAGAAAGCCAGAAGCCACUUGGACAAAAGCCAGUUUCCUAUUUUACCACAGUAGCACAGAAAGAUUCGGCCUUGCUUUGUAUUUACUCUGAAACACUCUAUUCUUUAAAGGUCGCCAACUUUAUUCAACAUAUGAUACAAGUCUGAAUGUCAAACAUCGAUGGCCAUUUGUGACAAGAAUAGCAAAUCCUUUCAUGGAAAACAAAUUAACAGGUAGAAUUUUUUGAUGUCUUAAUUUGUGGAUUUAAAAAAGCCUCAAAACGUCCUGUUUGUGCUGUACACAGGAAAGUACAACUUCCGAACAGAGUUUGAACAAGACUGCCCUAUUGCUUAAUGCAUGGCCACGAAUUUAAAUUGAUUUAAACUCUUCCUAUUUCUGUUUUGUUCUGUUGAGAGAGUUUCUCUAUGUAGCCCCAGCUGGCCUCCAACUUACUGCAGCCCUCCUGCCUCAGCCUUCCAAGUGCUGGGGUGACAGCUGUGUCACUACACUUGGCAAACUCUGCCUUUCCUUCCCAGCGAUUUUCCUGAACAACUGGUGUAGUCCAGGUAAUUCCCACCAUUUUCCAUUCCCAUUGCUGCCCCAUUUCCUUUCUGAACCUUAAACCCUCCUGACAUCUGCAGAGUAAUAAAAUGGCGUUCAGUUUAUCUUGAAUUUGUUAGUUAAAAAUAGGUAAAAUGAGAAUGCAGUCUCACUACACUACGUAGUAAAAUAAUCUGUGCGAUCAUCGCACGGUAGUCACAAUUGAUCCCUGCAGAAUACCUGGGAAUUUGCAUUAAUGAAACGGCAGGAGGAGAGGAAGCGCCGGGGCCCGGCCCAAGCCCGGGCCGCCUCCUGCGGGACACUUGGCCCGAAACCGCGGAGCCGGGCUCCGAUGGAGCUCUUUCAGGACCGGACAGAGCCGCCGUGACACCGCCCCAUCGGGUCGCCGCAGGGCCCUGUCCCGUCCGUGUCACACGGGGUCACCUCACCGCCGGCCUCCAGUGUGUCCGAGGGCAACGCGCGAACCCCGUUUUACAAUCGCUCCCCGCCAGCUCGUUCACUGGACCGGCGACGCCACUGCACGGAGGACCCAGAAGGGCAGCGAGCGGCAGGCGGGCCGUCCGACUUGGUGAGAUCCCGUCUCAAUGAAGGGGGCCGGGGUGAGGCCCCGAAGGCAGGCGCUGGGUCCGUCCCCAAAGCCGAAGUCGG